AUUAAACGCUGGCGGCAUGCCUUACACAUGCAAGUCGAACGGCAGCACGGGGGCAACCCUGGUGGCGAGUGGCGGACGGGUGAGUAAUACAUCGGAACGUGCCCUGGAGUGGGGGAUAACGUAGCGAAAGUUACGCUAAUACCGCAUAUUCUGUGAGCAGGAAAGCAGGGGAUCGCAAGACCUUGCGCUCUGGGAGCGGCCGAUGUCGGAUUAGCUAGUUGGUGGGGUAAAGGCCUACCAAGGCGACGAUCCGUAGCGGGUCUGAGAGGAUGAUCCGCCACACUGGGACUGAGACACGGCCCAGACUCCUACGGGAGGCAGCAGUGGGGAAUUUUGGACAAUGGGCGAAAGCCUGAUCCAGCCAUGCCGCGUGAGUGAAG
rnacentral:rRNA from 1 species